UACGAAGGGGGCUAGCGUUGUUCGGAAUUACUGGGCGUAAAGCGCACGUAGGCGGAUACUUAAGUCAGGGGUGAAAUCCCGGGGCUCAACCCCGGAACUGCUUUUGAUACUGGGUAUCUCGAGUCCGGAAGAGGUGAGUGGAAUUCCGAGUGUAGAGGUGAAAUUCGUAGAUAUUCGGAGGAACACCAGUGGCGAAGGCGGCUCACUGGUCCGGUACUGACGCUGAGGUGCGAAAGCGUGGGGAGCAAACAGG
rnacentral:rRNA from 1 species